rnacentral:rRNA from 1 species
CAAGGAAUUUUCCGCAAUGGGCGCAAGCCUGACGGAGCGACGCCGCGUGGAGGAAGACCCCCUUCGGGGCGUAAACUCCUUUUGUGGGGGACGAAGACUGACGGUACCCCACGAAGAAGCACCGGCUAACUACGUGCCAGCAGCCGCGGUAAGACGUAGGGUGCAAGCGUUGUCCGGAGUUACUGGGCGUAAAGGGCGCGUAGGCGGUUAUCCGCGUCGCACGUGAAAGCCCCCGGCUCAACCGGGGAGGGUCGUGCGAGACGGGAUAACUGGAGGCAGGGAGAGGCUGGUGGAAUUCCCGGUGUAGUGGUGAAAUGCGUAGAGAUCGGGAGGAACACCUGAGGCGAAGGCGGCCAGUUGGCCCUGACCUGACGCUGAGGCGCGAAGGCUCGGGGAGCGAACGGGAUUAGAUACCCCGGUAGUCCGAGCAGUAAACGCUGUGGACUAGGUGUGGGAGGAGUUGACCCCUUCGUGCCGGGCUAACGCAGCAAGUCCACCGCCUGGGGAGUACGGCCGCAAGGCU